rnacentral:rRNA from 1 species
UACGGAGGGUGCGAGCGUUGUUCGGAAUCACUGGGCGUAAAGGGCGUGUAGGCGGUCCACUAAGUCUGAUGUGAAAGCCCGGGGCUCACCCCCGGAAGUGCAUUGGAAACUGGUGGACUCGAGUCCCGGAGAGGAAGGUGGAAGUCCUGGUGUAGCGGUGAAAUGCGUAGAUAUCAGGAGGAAUACCGGUGGCGAAGGCGGCCUUCUGGACGGUGACUGACACUGAGACGCGAAAGCGUGGGGAGCAAACAGG